rnacentral:rRNA from 1 species
UACGUAGGGCGCAAGCGUUAUCCGGAAUUAUUGGGCGUAAAGAGCUCGUAGGCGGUUUGUCGCGUUGUUCGUGAAAACUCACGGCUUAACUGUGAGCGUGCGGGCGAUACGGGCAGACUGGAGUACUGCAGGGGAGACUGGAAUUCCUGGUGUAGCGGUGGAAUGCGCAGAUAUCAGGAGGAACACCGGUGGCGAAGGCGGGUCUCUGGGCAGUAACUGACGCUGAGGAGCGAAAGCGUGGGGAGCAAACAGG